UACGAAGGGGGCUAGCGUUGCUCGGAAUUACUGGGCGUAAAGCGCACGUAGGCGGAUUGUUAAGUCGGGGGUGAAAUCCUGGAGCUCAACUCCAGAACUGCCUUCGAUACUGGCGAUCUCGAGUUCGGGAGAGGUGAGUGGAACUGCGAGUGUAGAGGUGAAAUUCGUAGAUAUUCGCAAGAACACCAGUGGCGAAGGCGGCUACCUGGACAAUUGCUGACGCUCAGGCACGAAAGCGUGGGGAGCAAAAGGG
rnacentral:rRNA from 1 species